CUCAUAAAUCCGGCUUCUCUCCUCAGUCCACACUGCAGUUGGCUAAUAGAUCUUCUCUCCUGAAAAAGCCAUGUGCACACUUCCCUCUUCGCUUCCCACAUACUCAGUGUGUCUGUAAGUCAGUGUCAGAGACACACCAAGAGACUGAUCCCAGAGCAGGAAGAAUGCAUUGCUGAGUCUGGAGACCUGCUUUGUCCCUCAGUUUCGGCAGAAACAAGUAUUUAAUUAUUGAAAGCAGAAGUCCUUACUUUGCUCGGUCUUCGUAGAGUCUUAGGGGUGUUGGAGGAGAGAGGUAAGAAAUGCUUAUGUUGGAUUUGGCCCAUAGCGAGCAUCCCUUCCUUAGUGUGCCCUUGCAGGAGUAGGGCCCAGUAGAUCUGUCCUAUAGAGUAGAAAGAAGACUGGGGGCUCCCCUCCCCAUCCUAUAAAUGAUAUCACAUGCCUUAAACAGUUCCAAUGAAGAGCUAAGGAAAUGUUCAGGAGUAUACGGGGACCUUUGUAGAUUAGGAUGCUAAAUUGAGUUGUCCUAGACAUUGUCCCUUCCCCUAGUCCACUGACUACUUUGAUUAUGAACCAAAGCGUGGCAGAUAUAACUGCAUGGUUCCAAGUGUUGUUAUUCAUAUGUAAGAAUAGGUUGCUUGUAUAUAUGGAACCCCAGGUAACCCCUAUUCUGUAGGGACUUCUAGGUUCUGAAAUUGAUUAUGCUAGCAUAUCUUUAGCAAGGCUUUUUAGUUCAUCAAUAACCCACCAUUCAAGUUGUCAUACUACAGAUAGUCUUAGAGCCAAACUCUCCCUAAAGAGGGUUGAUCUGCAGAGGAUUGCCACAUAACUAAGGGAAUGUCUGUGGCAAUGUGAAGGAAUGAUCAACAGACUUCAACAGUUGAACUCAGACCUCACUGUACUGGGCCUUUCUCCUUUCCCCUUCUCUUGGUUUGAGCAGUGUUAACCUGCAUAUAGUCCCUAGGACAUGGAAUUUCAAGUGAGGACAUAGCAGUCGCCCACAUAAUGUCACUGGAAGAGUUACUUGUACAAGGAGGCAUCUAUCCUGCUUUCCAAGGCUCUCCCACCUUGAUUAACCUAACCAAAAUUUCUUUGAACUUUCUAUAGAAGCUAAGCUUCCUAAAAUUCACAGUUGACUUGGCUUGGACAAAGGACUAGGGAUUGUUAACUAGUGAUCUGACCUUGUAGGAAUGUUCUCUGUGAGGUCUUAAUAUGAGUUUGAAAUCUGUAUUUCAGAUAAUCUAUACCUAAGUGACACCAAGAGAAUCAAACUGCAUAAGACAGAGCUUUGACUGACUGAGGUGUGAUUAGACUCUUGAAUAAAACUAUCUAUAUUCCUUUUCCCUUUGGGUUCCAAACAAAUUCUCUGAAGCCAUUGCAGACCUUUUGGGUGGUCCCUCCAGAUGAGUGGCAGAGAUGUUGUGAGCAGUGUACCUCUCCUCCCCUUGGGGUAAGGUUGUGAGUCCGUCCUAGUUGUAGCAUCUCGGAUGCAAGCAGGUACAGUACAAAUAUCAGGCACUUGGUGCCAGGCCAAAAGGAGGCAUAAGUUCUUCAUUUGUUAUAUAGAUAUGUUAUUCUGAUUUGUGUUAAAUUAGAGAAAUGUUCCUAUGCUGUCCACAGUACCAUAGCUUCAUUAGAUUGACUCAAAAUGGAAAAAAAAAAAAAAAAGAUGUUCUCUGGGGUGACAACCAGCUAAUGUGCUAAAUCUUUAUUACAGAAUUCUGCAAAGUCAUGGUUCCCAGCCUUGUUUCCCCCCCAAAUCUGAAACUCACCCUUUCUUUAUUGAAAACAUUACCAGCCCUUCUGAGCCCUUUUUGAAGGGCCUCUCAGCUCAGGGCUUCAGUCCUGCCACAGGUGGAUAGCCAGUGUCUCCAGGCGUAUCCUGGACGCUUGGGCAUGAGAAGAGUGAGUGAAGGAGGCUGGAUUUUGAAUCAGACCUUCUCAGAUGUUCCCCUCCCCACUCCCAUCUCAGCUCCCUCUUCCUCACUGAUCUAAAUCACACGUGGGCAGAGCUCUGGGACCAGCAGCCAAGAUGCCUCUAGACUGGCACCAGCAGCAGGUGCGGUGGGCCCCAGCUUCUCCCAGUCCCUGAAGACACACCACGGCCAGGUGCUUGUGGAGGUUAA
rnacentral:lncRNA from 1 species